GGGACCUAGCUACUAGAUUGAACAAUUUUGAGGAACCCCCUCAUUCGUCUGACAAUUCUGAAGCGUCCCAUAAUAGACACUAUCAUCAUCGACGAGGUGGUCGAAAACAUUUUAGACGUGAACGUGGGGAUAGGGAUUAUGAUCGUGAGCGAGAACGCAACCAUUUCCAUCAGGGUACUCAAUCUCCUACUCGCCAUGAAGAGCGCUUAUUUAUAAACAUUAAGUUAGAUGCCCCUACUUUUGAUGGUUGCUUAGAUUCUCGAGUUUUUACUCAAUAGAUUAGGGAUAUGGAUCAUGGCUAUAAACCUAGGAAGCCUUUAGACCUUAUUCAUGUCCCCACAUAAU